UGGGGGAUAUUGCACAAUGGGGGAAACCCUGAUGCAGCGACGCCGCGUGUAGGAAGACGGUCCUCUGGAUUGCAAACUACUGUCUUCGGGGACGAUAAUGACGGUACCCGAGAAGGAAGCUCCGGCUAACUACGUGCCAGCAGCCGCGGUAAUACGUAGGGAGCGAGCGUUGUCCGGAAUUACUGGGUGUAAAGGGUGCGUAGGCGGCGUUAUAAGUUAGUGGUCAAAUACCAGAGCUUCACUCUGGAUCGCCAUUAAUACUGUAGUGCUAGAGUACAGACGAGGUAGGCGGAAUAAGUAGUGUAGCGGUGAAAUGCUUAGAUAUUACUCAGAACACCGAUUGCGAAGGCAGCUUGCUAAUCUGUAUCUGACGCUGAGGCACGAAAGCGUGGGUAGCGAACA
rnacentral:rRNA from 1 species